GAUCCUACGGGGGGCAGCAGUAGGGAAUCUUCCACAAUGGACGAAAGUCUGAUGGAGCAACGCCGCGUGAGUGAAGAAGGGUUUCGGCUCGUAAAGCUCUGUUGGUAGUGAAGAAAGAUAGAGGUAGUAACUGGCCUUUAUUUUACGGUAAUUACUUAGAAAGUCACGGCUAACUACGUGCCAGCAGCCGCGGUAAUACGUAGGUGGCAAGCGUUGUCCGGAUUUAUUGGGCGUAAAGGGAGCGUAGACGGUUCUGCA
rnacentral:rRNA from 1 species